rnacentral:rRNA from 1 species
UGGCCAGACUCCUACGGGAGGCAGCAGUGGGGAAUAUUGCACAAUGGGGGAAACCCUGAUGCAGCGACGCCGCGUGAGCGAAGAAGUCUUUCGGUAUGUAAAGCUCUAUCAGCAGGGAAGAAAAAAAUGACGGUACCUGAGUAAGAAGCACCGGCUAAAUACGUGCCAGCAGCCGCGGUAAUACGUAUGGUGCAAGCGUUAUCCGGAUUUACUGGGUGUAAAGGGAGCGUAGGCGGCGCGUUAAGUCUGAUGGGAAAACCCGAGGCUCAACCACGGGAGUGCAUUGGAAACUGGCGGGCUGGAGUGCCGGAGAGGUAAGCGGAAUUCCUAGUGUAGCGGUGAAAUGCGUAGAUAUCAGGAGGAACACCGGCGGCGAAGGCGGCCUGCUGGACCGUAACUGACGUUGAGGCUCGAAAGCGUGGGGAGCAAACAGGAUUAGAUCCCCCAGUA